rnacentral:rRNA from 1 species
UACGUAGGGGGCUAGCGUUAUCCGGAAUUACUGGGCGUAAAGGGUGCGUAGGUGGUUUCUUAAGUCAGAGGUGAAAGGCUACGGCUCAACCGUAGUAAGCCUUUGAAACUGGGAAACUUGAGUGCAGGAGAGGAGAGUGGAAUUCCUAGUGUAGCGGUGAAAUGCGUAGAUAUUAGGAGGAACACCAGUUGCGAAGGCGGCUCUCUGGACUGUAACUGACACUGAGGCACGAAAGCGUGGGGGGCAAACAGG